rnacentral:lncRNA from 1 species
AACAUUCUGAAAUGGGGGGAAAUUGUAUCCAUUCAUUUUAUUUUAUUUUUUUCUGCAGAUUUGGAAGAGACAGUGUCUGUUGGGGAAGUCCUGGUGAGGGACAGAUGGCAUGCUCAAGUGUUUAUAAAGGUGAGGAUGGGGGCAGGGGACCCCCCAAGGAGAUGGAAGGUGGUGGCAGGGGGUCAUCACCACCCUGGCUCCAGUGAGUGGUUUCUAGGAUGCAGAGAACACGGCCGGGGCACACACACUGUGGCCAAAGUCUCCCUCUGAUAUCCUGGCCUGGAGCCUGGGGCUGUGCACAGGAGGACUGGACUAGAGGAUGUACUGGUUGCUUUGUCCUUGAAACCCUCACUUUUUCUUCUCCCAAGUUUGCUGCAAGUCUCAGUGGGAAGGAAGGUGGCCGGGGCUUGCUGAAAGAGAAAAAAGAAUCUCUUGUGAGAGUCUUUGCAAACAGUCCUUGGGCACCCCAGCCAGGCUUGGCCUGGACACAUACAUGCGCAGUGGACCAGCAGCUCUGCCAUCCUUCAGGACACAGACGGGAGUCGGCCCUCGAGUUGGAGAGUGGCAGUUGGCACAACAAAGGCUCCAGCAUCAGUAUGAAAUCCAUUACUGUCCGUCAAGCCCUGUGGCUAAUGGGAAAACCCGGCAGCUGCCCGGUGCGCCAGGCGGGACUCGGACUGAUCCGUUAUCUGUCUAUUACUUCAGCA